rnacentral:rRNA from 1 species
UACGAAGGGGGCUAGCGUUGCUCGGAAUCACUGGGCGUAAAGGGUGCGUAGGCGGGUUUUUAAGUCAGAGGUGAAAUCCUGGAGCUCAACUCCAGAACUGCCUUUGAUACUGAAAGUCUUGAGUAUGGGAGAGGUGAGUGGAACUGCGAGUGUAGAGGUGAAAAUUCGUAGAUAUUCGCAAGAACACCAGUGGCGAAGGCGGCUCACUGGCCCAUAACUGACGCUGAGGCACGAAAAGCGUGGGGGAG